UUUUUUAUGAUGAAAAUAAAAAUGACUGAUCAAGUUUGAUGAUUUUCGCUAUUUCACCAAGAUCUCUGAAAAA
rnacentral:snoRNA from 1 species